AGCACUUGGGUGUGGGAUGGCUAAUUUAGUGUAUAGGGUUUGGUGGACAGCGGCUUCACCAACUUCUGAUUCUCGCUGUCAUCAUCGAAGAAGAGCAACUUGAUCAGGGCAGUAGGUUGUUACGUCUGGCCAGUAGGUUUGAUUUGGGGCUGUUGGAACUUGUCGUGGCAAUCUUGCUUUGGUUGAGGGCAUCAAGGAAGAGCCACUCACCUUGUUCCAGCAGCAAACACAUUCCUUGAUUAUGGAUUAAUCACGGCCGUGAAUUGAGGACUUUGACGCGAGACGAGUAUCUCGGAGUCAGCUUGGACCUUU